CUGCCGAGGAGGAGGAGGAGAAGAGGUGGAGUCUGUGGGAAAUGCAUGUCCCCCCCCCCCCGACUCCCAGAGCAGCAGUUAGAAACCACAGUACCUAAUAGGCCACAGAAUACAUUAAGAUUGGGCUGAGCCCUUGGGUUGGUGAGAAGCAGGUGUUGUACUAAGUCUAUAAUUUAAUAAGAUUACCGCUUUUUCUAAGUAGGUAGUAAUUAUAACUGAUUAUGAUUUGUUGUUGCUUGUUUCCUUUAUUUAUUUGAAUCUGAAUGUCCCUGAAUACACACAGUUGUUAUUAGGAGAUUUUCUGCACUCAGGAAAUAAUCCAUACGCAAUACAGAUGGCGUUUGCAAGAGUCGGUCGGGGCGAGCUUAGAAUGUGGGAGAUUUGAGAUAAGACACAGGAGAGAUUAUGUUAGGAUAAAGGUGGGCGGUAGCUGGAUCAUGAAAAAAAGGCACGUCACAUGGCGUACCCUAUAAACGUGUCGUUAAUGAAGGGUAAAAAUCACCAUAUCCAUGGACCUUUAAAAGCAUUGUAAUUGCAUAAACUACGUGUAGUUUAUGGGUAUAUAUUCAAACCCCAAAACACUGCCCCAUGUAGCAUAUUGCAGGUAGCCACCGCAAGUCCAGCAGUUAAACAAAACAGAUGGAGGAGGGAUCCAGAUGCUUUGCCAAUCAGAAUGGUACAUUCUACACCAACAAACCAAGACGGCAAGAGUUUAAGAGCACAGCUUUCAAGUUCUCGAAAAAAUCAAAAGUAUGAGGCAAGCCAUGGAAAAUAAGUCAUUCUCAAAGGUAGAAGUGGGGGUGUGUGGACUAUGAGGGGACCCCAACAUUUGGAAGACAAGUUUCCAGCAUUCAUAGAAUGCUUGCAUUUGGCAAUCUUUAGGGGGGAAAAUGUGCCCAUCUUCUUAAAGAUAGAUUAACUUCUGAAACAGCGCGCUGCUCGGGGAACACACCUGCCUCUGAACACUUAAGGAGAAUGUCUGAAUGACUAGGCUGCAGCUGCCUGCCCCUUUUAACAGGGAAAGAAAACAGGUUUGCUUUUCAUCAAAUGAGAUUUAUCAGUAUGUCAGUGAUGGCCACCAUCCCCAUCCCCACCCGCUGCCGCCCAUCCCUGAGCUAAGAGGACCAAAAAAGGAGCUUGUCCUCCUGCAACUGACCUACUUCUGCCUUAGACCCAGAGGAGAAAGCAGCAGCAGCUAAAUAAGCCGGCAUCUUCCAUCCAGAGAGCUGCUGAUUCUGCCUAUUGCCAUACGGGUUUUACAGCACCACCUGGCAUUACUGCUGCCAGGUGAGGAAGAUCGGCUGCAAGACCCAUGCUCCUUACUGCAGUCAAGGAUCCCUGAUGUCCUCCCUGCCCGUGGCUGCCUGGCUUUUGGAGCGAGUCCACCUUACCCGCUGGCUUCUGGAAGCAGUAACACCACUCAUUGUUGGAGAGUUUGCCGUCCUUGAAGGAGUCGCACGAGUUGAAGAGAGGCUUGAUGCAGGGCUCAUAUUUGUCUAGGUAGAUGGCAUUGAUCUCUGAGUGGUCCAGCAACAGGUCAUAGUUCAUGUCCAACUUGUUGAACAUCCAACCCAAGGAGUCCUUGCAAAUGG